UACGAAGGGGGCUAGCGUUGCUCGGAAUCACUGGGCGUAAAGGGUGCGUAGGCGGGUCUUUUAAGUCAGGGGUGAAAUCCUGGAGCUCAACUCCAGAACUGCCUUUGAUACUGAAGAUCUUGAGUUCGGGAGAGGUGAGUGGAACUGCGAGUGUAGAGGUGAAAUUCGUAGAUAUUCGCAAGAACACCAGUGGCGAAGGGCG
rnacentral:rRNA from 1 species